UAAUGCCGAAUUGCGCAUCACGAUCUUACCUUGAAAAUUAAGAUUUAUGGCCUUUUUGGACAGACAGAGCUCUCAUGUUAUUAGGAGCAAAGGUGGAGUCCUCCAUGAAAAACUAAGGACACUAUUAAAGUUAUGGAUCAGAGUCUGGACAUAGACAUCAGAAGAGAAAGCCUGCUGAAGUGCCUGAUUCAUGUACUUUGGUGAAGAUGCAAGCUGUCUGAUCAAAGAAUACCAGGCUGACCAGAGGGAAGAAGCGGAGAGGGAAUUCAAAAAGACCACCAUGGAAUUUUUUGUGAUCCGUGAAAGUGAUGCUCUUAAUCCUGCACUGGACAUUUCCAUUUUCAUUGACGGUGUGGAGUAAUAAAUGAGUUGCCCUCUUUUGCAUGUGCAUGUUUGGACUCAUUUGAACUGAACUUAAAACAUCCUGAUGGACUCAAAUAUAACUUUUAAAGCCUUUCAAAAAAAUGUCAUGGAUGUGGACAGUAAGCAGAUGAGCCGAAGGGUGCAGAACCCCUCUUCAAAACUGCAGGAGUACAUUUUUUCCUUUGACCCAGCUACUGAAGGUAAUUUUUUUGAGCCUUUUAUACAACAUUAACUGUAAUACUGUUUACUAAACCUGAUUUGUUUUAUCUUGAUUGUUUAUCUAUCAACCAUAACUGAUUCUUAUUUAGAAUUUACAUUUUAUCCAGUGUGUCUACAAAUACUAAAAACUGUUAUACAUUAAGUGUUUUUAUAACAAUACUAUACACAUUGUUGAAGUGUUUUAUGACAAAUUGUCAUGAUUAUAAUGUGUUUACAUUGUAAGAUAGUGUGUAUUUGUACAAAAAUGUGUAUUAUGACAAAAUAAAUUGUCAAAAGUUUGAUGCUUGAAGUCAUUCAUCUUAGACAGAUGGUAAAAUUACACAUUUUGAAAGUAAAUAAUUUUUUUUAUAUUAAAUUAAUAUUUUAAAUUGUAUUUGGUUGGAUAUUUGGUUAGAUGUAAAGUAAAACUUUUGCGUCAACUUGUUACAACUAAUUACUUUACUUUUUAUCAACCUAAAAUUU